rnacentral:rRNA from 1 species
UACAGAGGGUGCGAGCGUUAAUCGGAAUUACUGGGCGUAAAGCGUGCGUAGACGGUUAUUUAAGUCGGGUGUGAAAGCCCCGGGCUCAACCUGGGAAUUGCAUUCGAGACUGAAUAGCUAGGGUACGGUAGAGGGAAGUGGAAUUUCCGGUGUAGCGGUGAAAUGCGUAGAUAUCGGAAGGAACAUCAGUGGCGAAAGCGGCUCACUGGUCCGGUACUGACGCUGAGGUGCGAAAGCGUGGGGAGCAAACAGG